rnacentral:rRNA from 1 species
CCUACGGGAGGCAGCAGUGAGGAAUAUUGGUCAAUGGCCGAGAGUCUGAACCAGCCAAGUAGCGUGAAGGAAGACUGAUCUAUGGUUUGUAAACUUCUUUUAUAUGGGAAUAAAGUGAUCCACGUGUGGAUUUUUGUAUGUACCAUAUGAAUAAGCAUCGGCUAACUCCGUGCCAGCAGCCGCGGUAAUACGGAGGAUGCGAGCGUUAUCCGGAUUUAUUGGGUUUAAAGGGUGCGUAGGUUGUUUGUUAAGUCAGUUGUGAAAGUUUGCGGCUCAACCAUAAAAUUGCCGUUGAAACUGGCAGUCUUGAGUACAGUAGAGGUGGGCGGAAUGCGUGGUGUAGCGGUGAAAUGCUUAGAUAUCACGAAGAACUCCGAUUGCGAAGGCAGUUCACUGGACUACAACUGACACUGAGGCACGAAAGUGUGGGUAUCAAACAGGAUUAGAUACCCUGGUAGUC